UGCGGGGCAGAGCGACGCAUUUUCUGCCAGAUUCUUUCGUUUCACGCAAAAACGCGUUGAUUAAGCCUAAGUUCAACGAAAUCGGUGAGGAGGCCUCUAUUCUGCACAUUUACCAAAAAUAGAUAGCAUUACAAAUAAAAGUAAUAUAUUUGAAGGCUGGCGGAUAAUGGAUUUUUUCGUGAUUGAGCGCAUACACGAUUCUCUAUAUUUAGAUACUAACUUUUUGAACUCUGUUAUAUUGAGAUUUUACUUUGGAGUAUGGCAAACCUUUUGGUAAUGAAGUUUUUAACAAGUUCCAGCUCUUCGUGAUAUUUUUGGUGAAGGCGCAACUUUUCUUAAACAAUACCUCCUAAUUUGAAGGACGAUAUACUCUUUAAUUUUUAAGCAAAUGUUAAAAGUUAUUUAUCUAUAUUUGUAUUGUUUUAACUUGAAUUGAAAUUGACUUUAAUUUAGAUGAAAUUGACUUUGACUUGGAUUGAAAUUAGCUUUGACUUGACUUAAAAUUGGCUUUGACUUUGAUUGAAAUUGACUUUGACUUGGAUUGAAAUUAGCUCCGACUUGGAUUAAAAUUGGCUUUAACUUGGAUUGAAAUUGGCUUUGACUUGGAUUGAAAUUGGCUUUGACUUGGAUUGAAAUUAACUUUGACUAGGAUUGAAAUUGGCAUUGACUUGGAUUGAAAUUGACAUUGACUUGAAUUG